UUUUUUUUGGCUUUCUAGAGUCCUGCACCUGAAUCCACAGAAGAAAUCCAGGAACUUGAAAGACUAACCCAAGUGGCUGCAGCAGCCUUUAGAAGUGGCACUGAUUCUGUUGAACUUCUCAAGAAGCAAGUGGCUGCUCAACGAAAGGAGCUUGAGGAAGUCAAGCUG